rnacentral:rRNA from 1 species
GACGAACGCUGGCGGCGUGCUUAACACAUGCAAGUCGAACGGAAAGGCCCUGCUUUUGUGGGGUGCUCGAGUGGCGAACGGGUGAGUAACACGUGAGUAACCUGCCCUUGACUUUGGGAUAACUUCAGGAAACUGGGGCUAAUACCGGAUAGGAGCUCCUGCUGCAUGGUGGGGGUUGGAAAGUUUCGGCGGUUGGGGAUGGACUCGCGGCUUAUCAGCUUGUUGGUGGGGUAGUGGCUUACCAAGGCUUCGACGGGUAGCCGGCCUGAGAGGGUGACCGGCCACAUUGGGACUGAGAUACGGCCCAGACUCCUACGGGAGGCAGCAGUGGCGAAUAUUGCACAAUGGGCGGAAGCCUGAUGCAGCAACGCCGCGUGCGGGAUGACGGCCUUCGGGUUGUAAACCGCUUUCGCCUGUGACGAAGCGUGAGUGACGGUAAUGGGUAAAGAAGCACCGGCUAACUACGUG